UACGUAGGGGGGCGAGCGUUUGUCCGGAUUUAUUGGGCGUAAAGAGCUCGUAGGCGGCUUGGCAAGUCGGGUGUGAAACCUCCAGCUCAACCUGGAGACGCCACUCGAUACUGCCAUGGCUAGAGUCCGGUAGGGGACCACGGAAUUCCUGGUGUAGCGGUGAAAUGCGCAGAUAUCAGGAGGAACACCGGUGGCGAAGGCGGUGGUCUGGGCCGGCACUGACGCUGAGGAGUGAAAGCGUGGGGAGCAAACAGG
rnacentral:rRNA from 1 species